AGAUUGAACGCUGACGGCAGGCCUAACACAUGCAAGUCGAGCGGUAGAGAGGUGCUUGCACCUCUUGAGAGCGGCGGACGGGUGAGUAAUGCCUAGGAAUCUGCCUAGUGGUGGGGGAUAACGUUCGGAAACGGACGCUAAUACCGCAUACGUCCUACGGGAGAAAGCGGGGGACCUUCGGGCCUCGCGCCAUUAGAUGAGCCUAGGUCGGAUUAGCUAGUUGGUGAGGUAAUGGCUCACCAAGGCGACGAUCCGUAACUGGUCUGAGAGGAUGAUCAGUCACACUGGAACUGAGACACGGUCCAGACUCCUACGGGAGGCAGCAGUGGGAAUAUGGACAAUGGGCGAAAGCCUGAUCCAGCCAUGCCGCGUGUGUGAAGAAGGUCUUCGGAUUGAAAGCUAAUUUAAGUUGGGAAGGAAGGUUUAGUAAACUUAAUACGUUAGACUAACUUUUGAACGUUACCGACAAGAAUAAGCACCGGACUAACUUCGU
rnacentral:rRNA from 1 species